rnacentral:rRNA from 1 species
GACGUAGGGAGCAAGCGUUGUCCGGAUUUACUGGGCGUAAAGAGUUCGUAGGCGGUCUAUUAAGUGUGAAGUGAAAUCCCCAGCGCUCAACGCGGGAACUGCUUCGCAUACUGGCAGACUUGAGGAUUGGAGAGGUAACUGGAAUUCCUGGUGUAGCGGUGACAUGCAUUGAUAUCAGGAGGAACACCAAAGGCGAAGGCAGGUUACUGGCCAAUAUCUGACGCUGAGGAACGAAAGCGUGGGUAGCAAACAGA